UUUUAAGUUUUUCAGAUGUGCUCAAUCAAUAAUUUACAAAUAUAACCCAUAUAGGGGUUAAUAAUAAUAAUUAACUUUUAUAUUUACCAUAAAUAUUUUUAAAAUUCAUCUAGUGUAACCGUAAUUUCUUUACCCUGUAAACUCACUGCACUCUCCUUUCUAUCCACAGAAGUCAGAACCACCACCCCUUUCUCCACUCUUCUGUCUUCUCUGGUCUCUGCUGUUGCCGUCCAGCCCAGCCCUUGCUGCCGGUCUCAGUGCAUCUCCCGGCGUCAUUCUUAGCCUCUCUCCAUCCCUCGUUUAUUCUCAGUAUCUCUCUUCUCUCUUCGCGUCAUUCGCCUCAGUGCGCCAUCGUUCUCUCUGCUGUCGUCGUGGCACCCGCAUCGUUUCGUUUAGCAUCGUCAUUCUCAGCAAGUCAGCGUCGUCGUUCUCAGCGAGUCAGCGUCGUCGUUCAGCAUCGUGUCAUCCCUUCAUCGCUGCACUUCUAGAGUUUCAAUAGAGCCUCAGCCUCAGGAUAAGAUAAAUAAUCAAAUUAAAGAUUGUUUCUCAUGUACAAGCUCAAACAAAGAAAGUUGGGGUAAAUGUUCUUCUUUAGGAGGCAAUGAUGAAGACUUUGUGCAGAUUUAAGGGUCGAUAACCUCCCUCAGACUACAGUAAGAUGUAUUUGCAACAUCUUUGAGAAGCAUGAAAGAAAAGUGUUCAGAGCCAAAAGAAGAUGAACAGAAACUCAAGAAGAACAAGAACAAGAUCAAGAAGAAGAAAAAGAAGAAAGGCGAGACAGCUGACAAAAAGGGAAAGGGUGACAGGUUUGAGAAGUUAGAGGCUCUGAGUAGACAACUGCGGCAUUGCCUUCUAAAGGGAUCAAUCCAUUGAAAACAUUAGUUCUCUUGAACAUUUGUAUCAUACUGACUGACAUAUAGAUAUUCUUCAUGUCUAAUUCUGAUGUUCUUAGAGUAUCGGUGUGAUCCUAUAGAUAGAUAUUCUUCAUGUCCAAUUCUGAUGUUCUUAGAGCAUCAGUGUGAUCCUAUAUUUGUUGUAGCCACUCUUUGGAAUUUGGUUUUAUUGAUUUGUAAUUGUAGGCAAUCAGUCCUUGU